ACUCCACCGCCUGGCCGGUCUGUCUUUCCUAAAAAGAACAGAGCCAUCCACGACAGCACUCCAGUCGUGCGAGCUGCCCUGCCAGGUCUCCACGAUGGGAACCUAAAUCGUGCUCCUGCAGUUACACGGGAAGGAAGAGGCGGGAAAAAAAAAACCACGGUCCCAACCUGCUCGCUCCCACCGCUGGAAACGGGAUGGGUGAGAGCACCCGCAAAACACUCCGCAGUGGCCGAGGCCACCCCGGGAUCGUGCUCGGUCUCGGGCGGAGGCCCCGUGCCGGUCCUACUAAAAAGCCACACGGGAGCCCAGCGGCGGCGCCGUGCCGAUCCCAAAGACAGAGGCAGUCGAGCAGCAACCCUACAGGAGCCCCAGCACGAGAGAUCUUACCGAGCGACUCUCAAACACUCACCGCUUCCACGAGCUCACUGCUUCGGGCCGAUGAGAGCCUCUGCUGCAGCCCUCGCUCAGCCUGCAACACGAGAAACCUUUUGUUUCAGCAGCCCUUCGCUUCGCUUCCCUCUCCCGGCAGCACCGAGGCUGCACGAAUACGGCCCCAUCGCGUUCGCUCCUACCGAGGAGAGCCUGAAGAACUGAAGCACCCGCUGAAAGAAAUCCCGAGGGUGAGGGGGGCUGAGAGCACCCCGGGGCUGCGCGAGAACUCGGGGGUCUGAGCGGCAGCCGCCUCCAAAAAUGCGACGGCGGCCGGGCGGCGGCGGCGAUGCCGUAUCGGCUCCGCACAGCCGGGGGAGCCCGGCGGCGACCUAACGCCGGCCCCGAGAAGAGCGGGGUCCGACAGCCGCCUGCUCCGGAGAUCCUGGCGGCUCCCGAGCGCUCACCGUCCCCUCACUACUCGAACCGCUCACCUGUUUGGGCUGGUCCUUACCGCGAAAGGUCUCACAGCAGCCUGAAACAAAACGACACCACGAGAACAUUAAAGAGAACCUCAAGGCUCCGUCCCCCCCCCCAAAAAACCCCGCGUACCGCUUCUCAGCCUCAGCAGCGUCAGGGCCCGACAAAGAAACAGAACUCACUCCGUCUCCUAUCCACAACCGCAGAAACUCCCCCGUGGCUCCCAGCAGCCUCCGGAGGAGCUUAAGAGGCUUUGGGGCGGGCCCCGCCCGCGGCUCCCGACGAGGCGCAGCUGCGCCCGGCCGGCCGCGGCCCCGCGGCACCUGGGAGUCGUUGCCUCCUUAGCGCAGCCGGCCUCGUUAGGGACGGCCCGGGGCUCUGACAGUUUGACGUGCGGACUCCGGAUCUGAAUUAGGGACUUAAAUUACACUUUGAAGUACAGUUUGUUACGCGCUUCUCCUUCUCGCCGCACUGUGGGAUUCAUCGAUAAGUUAAGUAAUUGUGCCAAUUCAAACGGGUCGCUUUGCAUCCGACGCGACCGGCGCGAUAGAGCGUCUCCCCUCCGAAGAACGUUCCCGGCCUUAACGGUUUCCAGGGGCCCCCGAUGGGUGCGUCUCCGCUCCGCUUUCCAUUGCCCCAAUUCCGAGCAAAAGAAAAAGGAAAAAAAAUAAAUUAAUUAAUAAGAAAAAUAAGUCUUGUUGGAACAAACGUGCAGACCUUCACUGCUCAGGGGGACUACAAACCAAAGUAAAACUAGGGGCUGGCAAAAACAUGGUGCUCCACAGUCUUAAUUUAAUAAAACCUCCUGAAACAGUGUGAAAUUCAGAAGCCUGUGGUCGGGCUGAAGCGUGGUGUGCUGGCUGGCAGAUGUUUGGAAAGGUGCUAAGAUGUAACUCUUACUGUCCAUAGAAUUUGCUGUUAACCACUUGCAAGAUACAAAGUGACGGCCAGCUGGAUGAAUAGGAGAAUGUAUGUGAACACCCGGAACUGACAGACCCGGGACAGUGCAUGUGGCUUGAAGUGGGCACUGAGAGAAAGCUCAGACAAUGUAUAUACAUGCUUUUAACAUUCAAAUUAAUUUCCAUCGGGACACGACUUAAUUAAGGAGCUGCUGCUGCUGCUGAAGGAAGAAGAAGAAGCAGCGGCGUGGGGACCUGGGAGGCAGGAGCAAGCAAGAAGAGGAAGCGGAAGCGUGCAGAUGUGGGGGGGAAGGAGAGAGGCUCCCUGGGCAAAGCACCUGUCCCGUUAGCAGGGGCACAGUCACGUUUGAGUUGAGAGCUGCCGGCGCCUUUGGUGACCAGGCUGGCGUUGUGCUGGGCGACCUCCCCGUAAGCGGGGCUCGGGUCUUUGCUGUAGUUGGCCUUUUGCCUUGCUGCUCCUUUGGCUGCCUGGGGAGCGUGGCCCCCUGUAACGGAGGGCGAGAGCCACCUCUCCGCACCUGAGUGGGAAAUGGAGCUCGCCGGACCCCGAGGCCACCCUGUAAGCAGGGUAGUGCCGUUUCCCUGCCCCUCUUCCUCCCCCGGCCCCUCGGCAUCGUUGCCUGAUGGUGGCUUGUCAAUGCGACGGCCCCGUACUCGGGGGUGUGUGUCCCAAGCUUCGGAGGCCCUCUGUCCUGAGCAGCCCGCCCGCCCUGUAAUCAGGUGUGGGGAGGCUGCAGCGUUGCAGCCGGCUGCUUUAGCCAUCCAGCUGGUGGGAGUGACCCCUCCCUGUCCCGUCAGAGGGUGCAGGUUGAGGUGCUGUUUGUGUGUGGGGUGACCUCCCCGCUCGGUGGGUCGAGGUAGCUCCCUGGGCUUCCAAAGACGAGACGUUGGUGAUGUUCUGGUGCUGCCGGGCGGGCCAGCCUGUAACUCAGGCGUUGGCGGGAGCCUCGUGCUCCGCGGGGCUUCUUGAAGAGGGUGAGGUGUGGGGGUACCGUCCUGUAGGCAGGGCUGUGUGUGCCCCCCGUGUGUGCUUGGUGAGCUGCGUUCUGAGAGACCCCCUGUACUCAGGUGGGAAUGUGGCCC
rnacentral:lncRNA from 1 species